rnacentral:rRNA from 1 species
UACGGAGGGGGCAAGCGUUAAUCGGAAUUACUGGGCGUAAAGCGCACGUAGGUGGUUUUGUCAGUCGGAUGUGAAAGCCCUGGGCUUAACCUGGGAAUUGCAUUCGAUACUGCUUGGCUAGAGUAUGGUAGAGGGAAGUGGAAUUUCCGGUGUAGCGGUGAAAUGCGUAGAUAUCGGAAGGAACACCAGUGGCGAAGGCGGCUUCCUGGGCCAAUACUGACACUGAGGUGCGAAAGCGUGGGUAGCAAACAGG